UACGUAGGGUGCGAGCGUUGUCCGGAAUUAUUGGGCGUAAAGGGCUCGUAGGCGGUUUGUCGCGUCGGGAGUGAAAACUCAGGGCUUAACCCUGAGCCUGCUUCCGAUACGGGCAGACUAGAGGUAUGCAGGGGAGAACGGAAUUCCUGGUGUAGCGGUGAAAUGCGCAGAUAUCAGGAGGAACACCGGUGGCGAAGGCGGUUCUCUGGGCAUUACCUGACGCUGAGGAGCGAAAGUGUGGGGAGCGAACAGGAUUAGAUACCCCCGUAGUCC
rnacentral:rRNA from 1 species